GGAGAGUUGUCCGAGAGGCCGAAGGAGCACGCUUGGAAAGCGUGUAAACAGGAAACUGUUUCAAGGGUUCGAAUCCCUUACUCUCCG
rnacentral:tRNA from 2 species